rnacentral:rRNA from 1 species
ACGAACGCUGGCGGCGCGCUUAACACAUGCAAGUCGCGCGAUGAGGUCGUAGCAAUACGAUAGUAAAGCGGCGCACGGGUGCGUAACACGUAAGUGACCUGCCCUUUAGAUCGGGACAACAAUUCGAAAGGAUUGCUAAUACCGGAUGAGCUCCAAGAGUUGUGAGGAUUUUUGGAGGAAAGCGGCCCUCUGAUCUACGGUCGCGCUAAAGGAAGGGCUUGCGGCCCAUCAGCUAGUUGGUGAGGUAACGGCUCACCAAGGCAAAGACGGGUAGCUGGUCUGAGAGGACGAUCAGCCACACUGGGACUGAGACACGGCCCAGACUCCUACGGGAGGCAACAGUGGGGAAUAUUGGACAAUGGGGGAAACCCUGAUCCAGCGAUGCCGCGUGGAGGAAGAAGGCCUUUGGGUUGUAAACUCCUGUCGUCAGGGACAAAGCUUUGCGGUGGUGAACAAUCUGUAGAGUGGAUGGUACCUGAGGAGGAAGCACCGGCUAACCUCGUGCAGCAGCCGCGGUAAUACGAGGGGUGCAAGCGUUGUUCGGAAUUACUGGCGUAAAGCGCGUCUAGGCGGGUUUGUAAGUCUGUUGUGAAAGCCCUCGGCUUAACCGGGGAGGUGCAAUGGAUACUGCGAAUCUUGAGUGAUGGAGAGAUGGGCGGAAUUCCGGGUGUGUAGCAGUGAAAUGCGUAGAUAUCCGGAGGAACACCAGAGGCGAAGGCGGCUCAUUGGCCAUCAACUGACGCUGAAGCGCGAAAGCGUGGGUAGCAAACAGGAUUAGAUACCCUGGUAGUCCACGCCGUAAACGAUGAGAGCUAGGUGUUGGAGGAAUUGACCCCUUCAGUGCCGUCGCAAACGCAAUAAGUUCUCCGCCUGGGGAGUACGGUCGCAAGAUUAAAACUCAAAGAAAUUGACGGGGGCCCGCACAAGCGGUGGAGCAUGUGGUUUAAUUCGACGCAACGCGAAGAACCUUACCUGGGUUUGACAUCCCCGGAUAGUCCGCAGAGAUGUGGAUGUGCCUUCGGGAACCGGGAGACAGGUGCUGCAUGGCUGUCGUCAGCUCGUGUCGUGAGAUGUUGGGUUAAGUCCCGCAAUGAGCGCAACCCCUAUCUUUAGUUGCUAACAUUCGGUUGAGCACUCUAGAGAGACUGCCGGCGUUAAGCCGGAGGAAGGUGGGGACGACGUCAAGUCAUCAUGGCCCUUACGUCCAGGGCUACACACGUGCUACAAUGGUGAGUACAAAGGGUUGCCAACCCGCGAGGGGGAGCCAAUCCCAGAAAAACUCGCCACAGUACGGAUUGAAGUCUGCAACUCGACUUCAUGAAGCUGGAAUCGCUAGUAAUCGUGGAUCAGCAACGCCACGGUGAAUACGUUCCCGGGCCUUGUACACACUGCCCGUCACACCAUGAGAGUUGGGUCUUCCAGAAGUCGAUUCAAUAAGAGUCGCCCAAGGAAGGACCGAUGAUUGGGGGUGAAGUCGUAAC